AGUGCAUGUGGUGGAUGCCUUGGCGAUCACAGGCGAUGAAGGACGCGGUAGCCUGCGAAAAGCUACGGGGAGCUGGCAAACAAGCUUUGAUCCGUAGAUGUCCGAAUGGGGAAACCCACUCCUUUUGGAGUAUCCAUGGCUGAAUACAUAGGCCAUGUGAAGCGAACGCGGUGAACUGAAACAUCUAAGUAACCGCAGGAAAAGAAAUCAACCGAGAUUCCCAAAGUAGUGGCGAGCGAAAUGGGAUGAGCCUUGCACUCUUUAUUUGUAUUGUUAGCCGAACGCUCUGGAAAGUGCGGCCAUAGCGGGUGAUAGCCCCGUAGGCGAAAACAGUAUGAAAGAACUAGGUGUGCGACAAGUAGGGCGGGACACGUGAAAUCCUGUCUGAAGAUGGGGGGACCAUCCUCCAAGGCUAAAUACUCGUGAUCGACCGAUAGUGAACCAGUACCGUGAGGGAAAGGCGAAAAGAACCCCGGGAGGGGAGUGAAAUAGAUCCUGAAACCGCAUGCAUACAAACAGUCGGAGCCUCGUAAGGGGUGACGGCGUACCUUUUGUAUAAUGGGUCAGCGACUUACGUUCAGUAGCAAGCUUAACCGUAUAGGGCAGGCGUAGCGAAAGCGAGUCCGAAUAGGGCGUUCAGUUGCUGGGCGUAGACCCGAAACCAAGUGAUCUAUCCAUGGCCAGGAUGAAGGUGCGGUAACACGUACUGGAGGUCCGAACCCACUAACGUUGAAAAGUUAGGGGAUGAGCUGUGGAUAGGGGUGAAAGGCUAAACAAACUUGGAAAUAGCUGGUUCUCUCCGAAAACUAUUUAGGUAGUGCCUCGUGUCUCACCUUCGGGGGUAGAGCACUGUCAUGGUUGGGGGGUCUAUUGCAGAUUACCCCGCCAUAGCAAACUCCGAAUACCGAAGAGUGCAAUCACGGGAGACAGACAUCGGGUGCUAACGUCCGGUGUCAAGAGGGAAACAACCCAGACCGCCAGCUAAGGUCCCCAAAUAUAGCUAAGUGGGAAACGAAGUGGGAAGGCUAAAACAGUCAGGAGGUUGGCUUAGAAGCAGCCACCCUUUAAAGAAAGCGUAAUAGCUCACUGAUCGAGUCGUCCUGCGCGGAAGAUGUAACGGGGCUAAGCUAUAUACCGAAGCUGCGGAUGCGUGCUUAGCACGCAUGGUAGGAGAGCGUUCCGUAAGCCUGCGAAGGUGCGUUGAAAAGCGUGCUGGAGGUAUCGGAAGUGCGAAUGCUGACAUGAGUAGCGAUAAAGGGGGUGAAAGGCCCCCUCGCCGUAAGCCCAAGGUUUCCUACGCAACGUUCAUCGGCGUAGGGUGAGUCGGCCCCUAAGGCGAGGCAGAAAUGCGUAGCUGAUGGGAAGCAGGUCAAUAUUCCUGCACCAUUGUUAGAUGCGAUGGGGGGACGGAUCGCGGAAGGUUGUCCGGGUGUUGGAAGUCCCGGUCGCUGCAUUGGAGAAGGCGCUUAGGCAAAUCCGGGCGCAGGAUUCAAGGGUGUGGCGCGAGCUCCUUAGGGAGCGAAGCAAUUGGAAGUGGUUCCAAGAAAAGCCUCUAAGCUUCAGUCUAACGAUGACCGUACCGCAAACCGACACAGGUGGGCGAGAUGAGUAUUCUAAGGCGCUUGAGAGAACUCGGGAGAAGGAACUCGGCAAAUUGGUACCGUAACUUCGGGAUAAGGUACGCCCUUGUAGCUUGACUGGCCUGCGCCAGGAGGGUGAAGGGGUUGCAAUAAACUGGUGGCUGCGACUGUUUAAUAAAAACACAGCACUCUGCAAACACGAAAGUGGACGUAUAGGGUGUGACGCCUGCCCGGUGCCGGAAGAUUAAAUGAUGGGGUGCAAGCUCUUGAUUGAAGUCCCGGUAAACGGCGGCCGUAACUAUAACGGUCCUAAGGUAGCGAAAUUCCUUGUCGGGUAAGUUCCGACCUGCACGAAUGGCGUAACGAUGGCCACACUGUCUCCUCCCGAGACUCAGCGAAGUUGAAGUGUUUGUGAUGAUGCAAUCUACCCGCGGCUAGACGGAAAGACCCCAUGAACCUUUACUGUAGCUUUGCAUUGGACUUUGAACCGAUCUGUGUAGGAUAGGUGGGAGGCUAUGAAACCGGAACGCUAGUUUCGGUGGAGCCGUCCUUGAAAUACCACCCUGGUUUGUUUGAGGUUCUAACCUUGGUCCGUGAUCCGGAUCGGGGACAGUGCAUGGUAGGCAGUUUGACUGGGGCGGUCUCCUCCCAAAGCGUAACGGAGGAGUACGAAGGUACGCUAGGUACGGUCGGAAAUCGUGCUGAUAGUGCAAUGGCAUAAGCGUGCUUAACUGCGAGACCGACAAGUCGAGCAGGUGCGAAAGCAGGUCAUAGUGAUCCGGUGGUUCUGUAUGGAAGGGCCAUCGCUCAACGGAUAAAAGGUACUCUGGGGAUAACAGGCUGAUACCGCCCAAGAGUUCAUAUCGACGGCGGUGUUUGGCACCUCGAUGUCGGCUCAUCUCAUCCUGGGGCUGUAGCCGGUCCCAAGGGUAUGGCUGUUCGCCAUUUAAAGAGGUACGUGAGCUGGGUUUAAAACGUCGUGAGACAGUUUGGUCCCUAUCUGCCGUGGGCGUUGGAUAUUUGAAGGGGGCUGCUCCUAGUACGAGAGGACCGGAGUGGACGAACCUCUGGUGUACCGGUUGUCACGCCAGUGGCAUCGCCGGGUAGCUAUGUUCGGAAGAGAUAACCGCUGAAAGCAUCUAAGCGGGAAACUCGCCUUAAGAUGAGAUAUCCCUGGGGACUAGAUCCCCUUGAAGGGUCGUUCGAGACCAGGACGUUGAUAGGUCAGGUGUGUAAGCGCAGUAAUGCGUUCAGCUAACUGAUACUAAUUGCCCGUAAGGCUUGAUC
rnacentral:rRNA from 1 species